rnacentral:lncRNA from 1 species
GUGGGGCAGGGAGAUGUGGGGCAGGGAGAUGUGGGGCAGGGAGAUGUGGGGCAGGAUGUGGGGCAGGGAGAUGUGGGGCAGGGAGAUGUGGGGCAGGGAGAUGUGGGGCAGUUCUGCCCCCCAGAGUCACCAAAAACCCCCAAAAAUGGGUGAAAAUCCCACGGAAACGCGAAUUUUGGAGACGAUUUUGGCCGAUUUUGCUCCUUUUCGCCCCAAAUCUGGGAUUUCUGUGGGGCUCAGGGGUUACCUGGGGGACAGGUGAGCUCAGGUGGGACCCUGGCUGAGCCCAGGUGUCCCCAGGUGUAUCUCAGGUGUCCCCAGGUGUCCCCAGGUGUGCUCAGGUGUCCCCAGGUGUAUCUCAGGUGUCCCCAGGUGUCCCCAGGUGUAUCUCAGGUGUAUCCCAGGUAUCUCAGGUGUCCCCAGGUGUCCCCAGGUGUAUCUCAGGUAUCUCAGGUGUCCCCAGGUGUACCCCAGACUCACCUGGCAGGUAUCAGCCCCUCCUUUCGGGUCCCCGGCACACACCAUGUCCCCAGGUGUCCCCAGGUGUGUUCAGGUGUCUCUCAGGUGUACCCAGGUGUAUCACAGGUAUCUCAGGUGUCCCCAGGUGUACCCCAGACUCACCUGGCAGGUGUCGGCCCCGCCCCUCGGGUCCCCAGCACACACCAUGUCGUCCCGGAUCCUCCGCGGGGGCAGCGCCGGGCCCAGGUCGGUUCCGUAGAGGCGGCGACACAGAGAGAGCGGCAACAGCGGCACCUGCAGCUCCCGGAGCCGCCGGGGGCGCUCUGAGUGACCAGAGAGUGACCACUGAGUGACCAACUGACCACUGACCCACCCUGAGUGACCCCUGAGUGACCACUGAGUGACCACUGACCACACUGACCACACAGAGCCAGCGGCAACAGCGGCACCUGCAGCUCCCGGAGCCGCCGGGGGCGCUCUGAGUGACCAGAGUGACCACUGAGUGACCACUGACCCACCCUGAGUGACCACUGAGUGACCCCUGAGUGACCACUGACCCACCCUGAGUGACCACUGAGUGACCACUGACCACACAAAGAGAGCGGCAACAGCGGCACCUGCAGCUCCCGGAGCCGCCGGGGGCGCUCUGAGUGACCAGAGAGUGACCAACUGACCACUGAGUGACCACUGAGUGACCACUGAGUGACCACUGACCCACCCUGAGUGACCACUGACUGCACUGACCACACUGACCACUGACCAUUGAGUGACCCUGAGUGACCAACUGACCACUGAGUGACCAUUGACUGACCACUGAGU